rnacentral:rRNA from 1 species
UUGCCUACGGGGCGCAGCAGUAGGGAAUCUUCCACAAUGGGCGAAAGCCUGAUGGAGCAACGCCGCGUGGAUGAAGAAGGUCUUCGGAUCGUAAAACCCUGUUGUUAGAGAAGAACGUGUGUGAGAGUGGAAAGUUCACACAGUGACGGUAACUUACCAGAAAGGGACGGCUAACUAUGUGCCAGCAGCCGCGGUAAUACGUAGGUCCCGAGCGUUAUCCGGAUUUAUUGGGCGUAAAGCGAGCGCAGGCGGUUGGAUAAGUCUGAAGUUAAAGGCUGUGGCUUAAACA